CCCGCGGGAGAAACACUCCCGCCGGGGAAGAUAUCGCUUAUUCGUGGAGGGGCAAGAUCCCCGGGCCCCUAAGCCCGGGAAGCUUGUCUCUGACAAGGGAACCAAGGGUGUGGUUAGCUUCCUACCCCCAAAUCCGGUUGAUCCUGCCGGACCCGACCGCUAUCGGGGUGGGGCUAAGCCAUGGGAGUCGUACGCUCCCGGGCAAGGGAGCUGGCGGACGGCUGAGUAACACGUGGCUAACCUACCCUGAGGAGGGAGAUAACCCCGGGAAACUGGGGAUAAUCUCCCAUAGGCGAGGAGUCCUGGAACGGUUCCUCGCUGAAAGGUUCAUGGGCUAUUUCCCGCUCAUGAGCGCCUCAGGAUGGGGCUGCGGCCAUCAGGUAGUUGGGGGGGUAAGGGCCCCC
rnacentral:precursor_RNA from 1 species